GAACUCACUUUUGCAGCACAUACACUAAAAUUGGACCGAUAGUCAGAAGGUGAGCAAGGCCCCCGCACAAGGAUGACAUGCAGAAAAUAAACAUAUUCUGCAAAGAUUC